rnacentral:lncRNA from 1 species
AAUUAGCGGCAAAAGCGUUUGGAGGCAUUGAUAUAUGACGUAGUAAGGAUAUUUGUUUGGACGAAUGGAACUGAAGGGAGGAUAUAGUUUGAAGGAUGUCAGAAUUUGGAAUUUUUGGGUUGACAAGAAAAGAACGAGAGUGAGGGUGUGUUUUAGAGAGCUGAAAUAGAAGGUACUGUUGAAGAAUGAGUAACAAGUGUCGGUCUUCGUAAAUUAAAAAGCCUUAUAGGUGCCCGUAUAUAAAAAGCACAAAGUAAAAAUGUUAUUUUUGGAAGUCAAAAGAAAA